rnacentral:rRNA from 1 species
AUUGCACGUCUAAGCAGUAAGGCUGAGUAUUAGGCAAAUCCGGUACUCGUUAAGGCUGAGCUGUGAUGGGGAGAAGACAUUGUGUCUUCGAGUCGUUGAUUUCACACUGCCGAGAAAAGCCUCUAGAUAGAAAAUAGGUGCCCGUACCGCAAACCGACACAGGUAGUCAAGAUGAGAAUUCUAAGGUGAGCGAGCGAACUCUCGUUAAGGAACUCGGCAAAAUGACCCCGUAACUUCGGGAGAAGGGGUGCUCUUUAGGGUUAACGCCCAGAAGAGCCGCAGUGAAUAGGCCCAAGCGACUGUUUAUCAAAAACACAGGUCUCUGCUAAACCGUAAGGUGAUGUAUAGGGGCUGACGCCUGCCCGGUGCUGGAAGGUUAAGAGGAGUGGUUAGCUUCUGCGAAGCUACGAAUCGAAGCCCCAGUAAACGGCGGCCGUAACUAUAACGGUCCUAAGGUAGCGAAAUUCCUUGUCGGGUAAGUUCCGACCCGCACGAAAGGCGUAACGAUUUGGGCACUGUCUCAACGAGAGACUCGGUGA